rnacentral:rRNA from 1 species
CAGCAGCCGCGGUAAUACAGAGGAUGCAAGCGUUAUCCGGAAUGAUUGGGCGUAAAGCGUCUGUAGGUGGCUUUUCAAGUCCGCCGUCAAAUCCCAGGGCUCAACCCUGGACAGGCGGUGGAAACUACCAAGCUGGAGUACGGUAGGGGCAGAGGGAAUUUCCGGUGGAGCGGUUAAAUGCGUUGAGAUCGGAAAGAACACCAACGAGGAAAGCACUCUGCUGGGCCGACACUGACACUGAGAGACGAAAGCUAGGGGAGCAAAUGGGAUUAGAUACCCCCGUAGUCCCUGUCUCUUAUAA